ACUCCUACGGGAGGGAGCAGUGGGGAAUCUUCCGCAAUGGACGAAAGUCUGACGGAGCAACGCCGCGUGAGUGAAGAAGGUUUUCGGAUCGUAAAACUCUGUUUUCAGGGACGAAUGUGUUCCUCCUUAAAUAGUGUGAUGUAAUGACGGUACCUGAGUAGAAAGCCACGGCUAACUACGUGCCAGCAGCCGCGGUAAUACGUAGGUGGCAAGCGUUGUCCGGAAUUAUUGGGCGUAAAGCGCGCGCAAGUGGGAUAUUAAGUCUGGUGUUAAAGUUCGGGGCUCAACCCCGUGAAGCAUUUGGAAACUGAUAUUCUUGAGUGCAGGAGAGGAAAGUGGAAUUCCUAGUGUAGCGGUGAAAUGCGUAGAU
rnacentral:rRNA from 1 species